AUUGAACGCUGGCGGCAGGCCUAACACAUGCAAGUCGAGCGCGAGGCGGACGGGUGAGUAAUGUCUGGGAAACUGCCUGCUGGAGGGGGAAAAAUCCGGGAGACGGUAGCUAAUACCGCAUACCAUCAGAUGUGCCCAGAGGGGAUUAGCUAGUAGGUGGGGGAAAGGCUCACCUAGGCGACGAUCCCUAGCUGGUCUGAGAGGAUGACCAGCCACACUGGAACUGAGACACGGUCCAGACUCCUACGGGAGGCAGCAUUGGGGAAUAUUGCACAAUGGGGGCAAGCCUGAUGCAGCCAUGCCGCGUGUGUGAAGAAGGCCUUCGGGUUGUAAAGCACUUUCAGCGAGGAGGCGUUACUCGCAGAAGAAGCACCGGCUAACUCCGUGCCAGCAGCCGCGGUAAUAC
rnacentral:rRNA from 1 species